rnacentral:lncRNA from 1 species
UUUAUUUGGAGAACUGAAUGUUUUUUUCUAAUUAUUGAUUUAAAUAGUCGAGUCUGGUGGGGUUAAGGGCCUAACACUUUGUAUUGCAAAAAUGAGGCACGAGGUCCCCAGAUUCAGUAUGGUGAUCAACAUCCACCCAAGGUUGAUGAGUUGAUGGGAGGAUCUUCAUAGCAGUGAUCGAACCCUCGUCCGUAAGCAGUUAGGGAAU